UACGGAGGGUGCAAGCGUUAAUCGGAAUUACUGGGCGUAAAGCGCACGCAGGCGGCUUUUUAAGUCGGAUGUGAAAGCCCCGGGCUCAACCUGGGAAUUGCAUUCGAUACUGGGAAGCUAGAGUAUGUGAGAGGGGGGUAGAAUUCCAAGUGUAGCGGUGAAAUGCGUAGAGAUUUGGAGGAAUACCAGUGGCGAAGGCGGCCCCCUGGCACACUACUGACGCUCAGGUGCGAAAGCGUGGGGAGCAAACAGGAUUAGAUACCCCCGUAGUCC
rnacentral:rRNA from 1 species